rnacentral:tRNA from 1 species
GGGCAUAUAGCUCAGUGGUGGAGCACUUGCCUGGCAUGUGUGAGUCCCUGGGUUCAAUCCCCAGCACCA